rnacentral:lncRNA from 1 species
AUGUCCGACUCUGUGAGACCCCAUAGGUGGCAGCCCACCAGGCUCCGCCGUCCCUGGGAUUCUCCAAGCAAGAAUACUGGAAUGGGUUGCCAUUUCGUUCUCCAGUGCAUGAAAGUGAAAAGUGAAAGUGAAGUUGCUCAGUCGUGUCCGACUCUUAGCGACCCCAUGGAUUGCAGCCCACCAGGCUCCUCUGUCCAUGGGAUUUUCCAGGCAAGAGUACUGGAGUGGGGUGCCAUUGCCUUCUCUGGGGAAGUCCAAUAUAGGUGUUUUAACAGACAUGUAACUAUAAUUUCUGGGACUUGCCCAGAUAAUCUUUCUAUAAUGCAUUUUAGUUGUAAACUCGUUCCCCACCUAUUCAAUUUGCAGGAGUUUCGUUACAGAGAAGACAGGAAUGUUUUGUUGCUCCUGGUCCCAGUGGAACAGUUACAGAUGGGUAAAGAAGAACCACAGAAAGCAGAGACCGUGCUGGACCACAGAGGCCUUUGGAGGCCAAGCUGAGAGCAUGUGAUGCUUCUGCGGCGGUUCCAUGACACACCCCUCCGAACCAGGAGAAGGAGAGAUGUAUGCUCAGUGAAUUGAGGACCUUCCAUCUGCUGUGGGUGAGCUAAGCACAAAGCAUGGAGUCAGGCUCUGCCGUAUAGGUGACACCCGGACCAAACAAGCAGAAGAGGGGUGGACACUCACUCACUUGUCAUGCUCAGUCGUGUCUGACUCUUUUCGGCCCUAUCGACUGCAGCACGUCAGGCUCCUCCGUCCAUGAGCCUCUCCAGGAACGAAUACUGGAGUGAGUUGCCAUUUCCCCUUCCUGGAGAUCUUCCCGAGCCAGGGAUUAAACCCAUGUCUCCAGCAUUACAGGGAGAUUCUUUACCUCUGAGCCACUGUGGAAGCCCCCAGGCUUGGUAAUGCUACCAAGUCAUCAUUCUCUCUUUAGGUGGAAACACCAGUGGCUUAGAAUUUUAAUAGGUUAAAAAUUUAUCUCAUUGAAUUAGAGGCAGUGCUUAGAUGUUAAAUCUAUUGAUAAGUGUCUGGCCUGAGUUUCCUAAGAAGGAAGGCCGGUUGGAUCUCCUUUCUACCAAGGGAAGCCAUGCCUGCAUGAGUGCUAAGUUGCUUUGGUUGUGGCCGACUCUUUGUGACCUUAUGGACUGUAGCCCUCCAGGCUCCUCUGUCCAUGGGAUUCUCCAGGCAAGAAUACUGGAGUGGGUUGCCGUGCCCUCCUCCAGGGGAUCUUCCCUAUUCAGGGAUUGAACCCACGUCACUUAUGUCUCUUGCUAUGGCAGGCCGGUUCUUUCUGACUUGCACCACCUGGGAAGCCUAAGAGAGGUGAUGGGCCCUGUCAUUCUUGGAGAAAGAGCCAGGCUCUGAGCAAAGUCAGGGAAGGUAAGUGGGCUUAAGCAUUUUGGUAGCUUCUUCUCUCUGUUGGAUUUUGGUAGCAAAGAGCCCU